UGCUUGCAUUUCUAUCUUCCAAAUGUGAUCCGAAUCUCAGCAAUGGAAGCGUUAGAUCAAAGAUUGAAGAUCUAAACUGGGAUCCGUGCAGGAGUUGCCGGGAGAUUCACGGACUGAUGCGAUUCCCCGGUAGGUGAAUCUUGCCUUCUGCUAAACUGGUGAACCCUGAACUUGUGGCGCGGUCAGAACCAGUUGCUGAGUUGCUUGAUUUGGAUCUGAAAGAGGGUUGUCGGCUGGAUUGCUUAGGCAAGCUACAUACACAAUAGCACGACUUGGGUCAUUUAGGUGAAGCUCUUACACAUGAAGUACAAAUAUGUUAGAUUGUGUAUGGUGUUUUUGAGAUAAAUAUGUUUUCUGUACUUAUUUAUAGUUAUGCUUCAAAAACUGUUGAAAUAAUUGAUUGUGUUUCAUUAUAACCCAUUUCUUCUUAGAUGUUCCAUCAUGAUACAAUUACAAUUAGUAUUUAUGCCACCUAGUGGUAUACAAUGUAUCCCCCCCGUUUAGGAAUUUAUAUUGAACCAGUAUAUUCAUU